UUUCUGUUAGGACAAUGGUCACGUGGUAGACGCCAUUUUUCAGCAAAGCGGAUCCUAAAUAAUUAUAAUAUAAUUGUUUGCCAUUUGUCUAGCAUCAUUUUAACAAUGUCUGAUCAGGAGCAGAAUAGCAUGGGAUGGGACAACAAUGAUAUGCAGCAAUAUGAUGAUGACUUGGAUGGUUUGGAAAAAUCAAGGCAUCGUGAAUCAACAUCUCGAUCACGAUCCCGGUCCCCAGUUCGACGCUCAAGGUCAAGAUCUCGAUCACAUGAAAGACACAGAGACCGAGCUCGACGAAUAAACCUCAUCUCAAAGAGAGUUAUUAUCAGCAAUGUUCCAUACGAAAUGAAGUGGCAGGACAUUAAAGACAUUUUCAGGAAAGAAGUUGGGGAGGUGCAGUAUGUAGAAAUGUUUGAAACCCCAGAUGGAAAAUCACGUGGAUCAGGAAUCAUUGAAUUCAAAGAUAAGGACACAGCCAGAAAGGCUAUAGAAACUAUGCACAGAUACAAGAUGAAGGACAGGAACAUCGUUGUCAGAGAGGAACGUGAGAGUGAUCAAAACCAGAACAUGGGAGGUGGUCGCGGAGGUGGAUCAGGAAUGAUGGGUGGUGGAGGCCUUGGAGGAGGAAUGGGAAUGAUGGGAAAUAUGGGAGGAGGUGGAGGCAUGCUGGGUAAUAUGGGAGGAGGCGGUCCUGGCGUUACUCCUCAGCUUCUGCAACAGCUUGGGGUUGAUGGGCCAGUCACCAACACCGUGUUUGUAUCAAAUAUUGAUUACAAAGUCACAUGGAAGAAAUUGAAAGAUGUAUUUAAAUUGGCUGGAAAUGUACAGAGAGUGGAAGUGAUGCAGUCGAAAGAUGGCAAAAGUCGAGGCAUGGCCACUGUGAGCUUCGACACUCAACUGGAGGCCCUCCAAGCUAUCUCUAUGUUCAACAACCAGACCUUAUAUGAUCGUCCAAUGAGGGUAAAAAUGGACAGCACUGCCGCCAAAAAACCAGAUAUACCAUUACCAGCUGGUUUGAAAUCAAUUGGCAUGGGGCUUGGUUUAGGAGGUAUUCCAUUACAGAAUAAUCAAGGAUCAGGAAUGGGCAUGGGCAACCUCGGAGGAGGAGGGGGAGGGGGAGGAGGUGGUGGAGGAGGAGGAGGAAUGGGCUCGGGCAUGUCCUCUAUUGGCAUUGGCAACAUGGAUGGUGGGAUGGGCAUGGGGUCUUCCCUAGGUGGUGGAACAGUGGGUUCAAUGGGUGGAAAUUUGUCAGGCCUUGGGCUGGGAGGGGGAAACAUGGGAGGUGGAUCCAAUGUUGGUUUGGGUGGAAUGGGCAAUACAAGUCUGUCAGGAAUGGGGCUGUCAGGAGGGCUUAAUGACUACAACUCUGGAAUGGGCACUACAGGGCUAGGCAACAAUUUUGGGAACGCCUUGGGCGGAAUGGGUGACAAUCGCAUGGGCCUGAGUGGCCUCAGCAGUAACAGCUUGAGUGGGAACAGCUUCAGCAGCAACAUGAUGGACAAUCUGGGCAGUGGGCUAGGUCUGGGCAGUAGCAAUUCUAACUAUGGAGGGAGUGGACUAUCAUCCUCUUACUCUGACCGUGGAGGCAGCAGCAGAGGCAGGGACAGUCGGGAUAAUGACCGCUCCACCCGCCCAGACAACUGCACUGUCUGUGUCAGAAAUCUUCCAUACUCUUUGAAAUGGCAGGAUCUGAAAGAAAAGUUCAAGUCCGUCGCUGAUGUCAGGUUCGCAGAAAUCAAAACAGAGAAUGGAAGAUCUGCAGGAUGGGGCUUGGUCAGAUUUGGAAAUCCGGAUGAUGCCCAGAGAGCAAUUUCUCUGAUGAACAGGUCCCGUAUUGAUGGCCGAGAAGUGGAUGUCAAAAUGUACCGUUGAUCACAAAUGAUUCAGCCUGUGGAUGUUACUUUUAAAGUAGGACUGUUGAGCAAACAUACCUUCUGAUGCGGAGAAGAGCAGUCUUCUGUAAGGAUGUGCUGACCAGCCUUGACAGAAGUGCUGAUAUUUCUCUCUGGGCAGAUCUGAACAGUCAGCAUUUGCAAAACUACUCUAACCAAAACCUUAUCUGUUUUCGCCUCCAAAGGAUCGUAGCAAAGGGGAGCCUCCAAAGGAUCGUAGCAAAGGGGAGCCUCCAAAGGAUCGUAGCAAAGGGGAGCCUCCAAAGGAUCCUAGCAAAGAGGGUUUUAUAGGUCCUUUUAAUGAGGAAUGGUGAUGCAGUGAUAAUACACUGGAUUUUUGUGGAAUGUGGACACUUGAAUAAAAUGAUUUUAAUGCA